rnacentral:rRNA from 1 species
GCCUGCAUGAAGCUGGAAUUGCUAGUAAUCGCGGAUCAGCAAGCCGCGGUGAAUACGUUCCCGGGCCUUGUACACACCGCCCGUCACCCCAUGAGAGUCGGGAACACCCGAAGUCCGUAGUCUAACCGCAAGGGGGGCGCGGCCGAAGGUGGGUCCGGUAAUUGGGGUGAAGUCGUAACAAGGUAGC